GACGAACGCUGGCGGCGUGCUUAACACAUGCAAGUCGAACGGUAAGGCCCCUUCGGGGGUACACGAGUGGCGAACGGGUGAGUAACACGUGGGUGAUCUGCCCUGCACUUCGGGAUAAGCCUGGGAAACUGGGUCGAAUACCGGAUAGGACCACGCUCUGCAUGGAGUGUGGUGGAAAGCUUUUGCGGUGUGGGAUGGGCCCGCGGCCUAUCAGCUUGUUGGUGGGGUGAUGGCCUACCAAGGCGACGACGGGUAGCCGGCCUGAGAGGGUGUCCGGCCACACUGGGACUGAGAUACGGCCCAGACUCCUACGGGAGGCAGCAGUGGGGAAUAUUGCACGAUGGGCGCAAGCCUGAUGCAGCGACGCCGCGUGGUGGAUGACGGCCUUCGGGUUGUAAACCUCUUUCAGUACCGACGAAGCGCAAGUGACGGUAGGUUCAGAAGAAGCACCGGCCAACUACGUG
rnacentral:rRNA from 1 species